rnacentral:tRNA from 1 species
GCUGAUGUAGCUCAGCAGGUAGAGCAACUGACUUGUAAUCAGUAGGUCGGGGGUUCGAUUCCGUCCAUCAGCU